rnacentral:misc_RNA from 1 species
GAUGAAGAACGCAGCGAAAUGCGAUAAGUAAUGUGAAUUGCAGAAUUCAGUGAAUCAUCGAGUCUUUGAACGCACAUUGCGCCCCCUGGUAUUCCGGGGGCAUGCCUGUCCGAGCGUCAUUGCUGCCCUCAAGCACGGCUUGUGUGUUGGGCUCCGCCCCCCUCCCGGGGGGCGGGCCCGAAAGGCAGCGGCGGCACCGCGUCCGGUCCUCGAGCGUAUGGGGCUUUGUCACCCGCUCUGUAGGCCCGGCCGGCGCCCGCCGGCGACCCCAAUCAAUCUUUCCAGGUUGACCUCGGAUCAGGUAGGGAUACCCGCUGAACUUAAGCAUAUCAAUAAGCGGAGGA